CCCGUCUCGUCGUCUACUCCGCUCCUUGUGCCAUCUCGCGGCGGAACAGGGGAGGGGAGGGGCGGCGAUCUCCAUCCGGCGAGCGGCGAGCGGCGAGCAGCGAGCAGAGCAGAGCAGGGGAGGAGAUCCUGAUUCAUGUUCUUCAUUUCUGUGCUGGUUAGUAUUUCCAAUCACCAACGCUUUCUUCAAGAAUGGAGGAGGAUGAAUCCAGUGACGAAGUGUUCAUGAAGCAGAUGCUAAGGAAUCUGAUGUUUCAUGAACUUAACCGAGCAAAUUAUAGAAACCAGUUACCAAAUGUUUACAGCAUUUGUACAGUUCAAAUUGAGCAACUGUUGUAGUUGGAGUUUUAUGUCAGUCUGCUUUCACAUUUGAAAAUUUACAGUUACACAACAGGGUAGUCAAUAAACAUGAAAGUAAAAAAAGAAAAUCAAGCUUAUAUUUUUUAUG
rnacentral:sRNA from 1 species